GGUUAAGCGACUAAGCGUACACGGUGGAUGCCCUGGCAGUCAGAGGCGAUGAAGGACGUGCUAAUCUGCGAUAAGCGCCGGUAAGGUGAUAUGAACCGUUAUAACCGGCGAUUUCCGAAUGGGGAAACCCAGUGUGAUUCGUCACACUAUCAUUAACUGAAUCCAUAGGUUAAUGAGGCGAACCGGGGGAACUGAAACAUCUAAGUACCCCGAGGAAAAGAAAUCAACCGAGAUUCCCCCAGUAGCGGCGAGCGAACGGGGAGGAGCCCAGAGCCUGAAUCAGCAUGUGUGUUAGUGGAAGCGUCUGGAAAGG
rnacentral:rRNA from 3 species